GGCGAAGUGCCAGAGUGGUUAAUGGGUAUGACUAGAAAUCAUAUGGCUUCGGCCGCGUAGGUUCAAAUCCUGCCUUCGUCG